rnacentral:rRNA from 1 species
AGUGAACGCUGGCGGUAGGCCUAACACAUGCAAGUCGAAUGGCAGCACAGUAAGAGCUUGCUCUUACGGGUGGCGAGUGGCGGACGGGUGAGGAAUACAUCGGAAUCUACUUUUUCGUGGGGGAUAACGUAGGGAAACUUACGCUAAUACCGCAUACGACCUACGGGUGAAAGCAGGGGAUCUUCGGACCUUGCGCGAUUGAAUGAGCCGAUGUCGGAUUAGCUAGUUGGCGGGGUAAAGGCCCACCAAGGCGACGAUCCGUAGCUGGUCUGAGAGGAUGAUCAGCCACACUGGAACUGAGACACGGUCCAGACUCCUACGGGAGGCAGCAGUGGGGAAUAUUGGACAAUGGGCGCAAGCCUGAUCCAGCCAUACCGCGUGGGUGAAGAAGGCCUUCGGGUUGUAAAGCCCUUUUGUUGGGAAAGAAAAGCAGCAGGUUAAUACCCCGCUGUUCUGACGGUACCCGAAGAAUAAGCACCGGCUAACUUCGUG